rnacentral:rRNA from 1 species
AUUGAACGCUGGCUGCAGGCCUAACACAUGCAAGUCGAGCGGAGCGGCGGACGGGUGAGUAAUGCCUAGGACUCUGCCUGGUCGUGGGGGAUAACGUCCGGAAACGGGCGCUAAUACCGCAUACUCUCCGAUUAGCCUAGGUCGGAUUAGCUAGUUGUUGGGGUAAGGACCUACCAAGGCGACGAUCCGUAACUGGUCUGAGAGGAUGAUCAGUAACACUGGAACUGCGAAACGGUCCAGACGCCUACGGGAGGCAGCAGUGGGGGAUAGUGCACAAUGGGCGAAAGCCGGAUGCAGCGACGCCGCGUGGGGGAUGAAGGCUUUCGGGUUGUAAACCUCUUUCGCUAUCGAACGGGUAGGUGGAGAAGAAGCGCCGGCUAACUACGUGCCAGCAGCCGCGGUAAUUC